AUAUUAACCUCAUUUUCUCACACAUAAAAUUGUCUGCAACAACUGAGUGCCUAGCUCCGCUGCUCUGAUAAUUUUAGGGUUUCCAGACAUCGAUCUUAGCUCAAAAUGAAUCAAAACGCUGAUGGAAGAGCUUUCCUCAACAUUGAAGAAGAUUCAGAAUCGAUAAGUAGCAAUGAGCCUCUACCAGAUGAGGUCCCUCUGCAGCUGGCGGACACACCGGGGCCUUUUCUUAAGUCUCUGGGUUUGGAACCACCGAUUCCACCAGCUGCUACUUCACGGUCAGAUACCCCUAAGCCUAGGGCCUCAGAUAACCCUAAACCUAGGGCCUCAGGAGGCCAGCCAAAAAAAAAGAAGACAAGCAGUACCGGUCAGAAUCCACAAUCAGCGAGGAGUACGAAAGAAGCUACUCCGACGAGGAAGAGAAAGCCAGCCCCAGACCCAAAGAUGUGGGUUCCGCUGGCUUACAGGGAAAGAAAGAAAGAUGACUUCAUCUAUUUUUUUAAAUGAAGAAGAUGACUUCAUCUUGAUUGGAAAAGACAGUUCAUCUGGAAUAAUAAUACUUUUUUUAAUGACUUCAUAUUUCGACGUGCUUAGCUUCAAUGAGUUUGUUUCAUAAUGACUUGGCUAGGCCUUGUUUGGCAUGUACU